UCCGGUCAGCGCCAGCAGCAAUGGCGGACCUCCUUUGAGUUUCGGAGGGGGUAGCUCAGCGGGAGAUCAGGUCCUGUGCGCUUCGGCGAAGCGGGGACCCUCAGAAAUCGCAGGCGCGGACGCCUGCGAACGUGGAGGCUCGGCGGGCACCUUGGAGCGCCCCCCCAACCCGAAAGGAAGCCUUUUUUUGAGGCUUCAGAAGGGAGCGGGGGAGAAGCGCGGUGCUGCGAGCGGAUCGCUGCUUUCACUGAGCGAAGCCGUGUUGCCGUUGCUGGAGAGCGCUGACUUAUUCCUGGGACAUUUGGACUUAAAAUUUAACCGUGAGUAGAAGAAUUGGAUAAAAGAGCAUUAUUUGGAUUAAUUGGACUAUUUGUGAAAAAGCGGAAAAGUUUUAAGCCGUUUAAAAACGUCUGAAUUGGCUACCGCGGUGGAAGCGUAAACAGGAAGUCCGCUUCCCUGCACUGUAUAUGGAAUAAAGCAUAGAGAUUUGGAGCUAAACGUGGGAAAACUGAACUGAAAUAAGUGUUUCUUUCUGACCUGAGAACUUUGGAGGGAUCUACCCUUUGGAGGGAUAAGGGAAAGACUCUUGAUUCUACCGGACUGUUUAAAUUGAAGGAUUUAAUGAGUGACCUGUCAGUGGGACGUCUCAGCUGUCAAAGCUGUUAAAGCUGCUUGUUGGUUGCAAAGGAGAUACACUGUGGCCAACUUCAUUGGGAAAAGAUUGGAAAGGACUGGAAAGCUACACUGUGUUCUCUAUUCUUGCCUUUCUACUUAGUAUCUUUCUCCUGUUAUUUCAAAAGGACAGUAACUUGCUAGGUGGUAACAGUGUCCAUCUAGUGGGACUCCCUGCAAUUACAGGAAAGGAAAGGAAUUUUCCACUUAUAAACAGGAACAUCAGACGUGGGAAAGGAAUUUGACCUUCACUUUGUUAUGGCUGAUGGUCAAAAAGACCAGUCAACUUUGAGAUCAGGGAAACCUUGGACACAUAGAAGGCAAUCAUCUGCUGGUUUGCCCGCAUCGGCAAUACAAUCUAAGUCUGGUGGAAUGUCUGAGGAACUUUUAGCCAGUGCUCUGACUAAGAUUAAUGAAUCAAUACAGCAAUUAAGUACAAAAGUGGGGGAGACGAAUAGGAAGGUGGAAGAGACGAACCAGAAAGUGGAUAUUGCAAACAGGAAAAUUGAUUUAAACACAGAAACAUUAGGCAAUUUGGAGAAAAAAGUAAACAGCAAUACGGAAUCUAUUCAGAAACUACUGCAAGACUCAAAGUCUAUACAGGAAAAAACUGCUGCUGUAGAAUUUAAAUUGGGGCAAUUGGAAACUGAAAAAGUACCAGACUUGCAGAAAGAGAUUGCAGAACAUAAGUUAACGUUGUCUAUGAUUGACCUUAAAGACAAACAAACGAAUCUUAGAAUUAGAGCUGUUCCUGAGUUGGAGAAAGGUACCUUGAUAGACUUUUUGACACAAGAAUUUUUGGACUUUUGGAAAUCGGAAUUGAAACAAGAGGAUUUUAAGAUUGUGAGGGCUUUUCGACUGGGGAAAGGAGGAAGAAAGAUCAAAAUAAGGGACUGUUUGAUCACCCUCCGAUCCAAAGAAGAAAGGGACAAAAUUUUGGGCUUGCAUUACGAAAAACCUUUGACAAUCAUACAAUCAAAAGUGGAAAUCUUCAAAGAUAUACCAAAACAUCUUCUUGAUUUAAGAAAGGACUUUGGAGAUUUGGUGGACUUGUUGAGAAAAAAUAAAAUCCUUUUUAGGUGGGGAUUUCCCCAAGGUCUAUCCUUUAGCUUCAAAGGAAGAAAGACCAAGAUUAGAUCAGUGGAGGAAAAGAACAAGUUUCUGAGUGCAUACGAAGAAAAUCUACAGAAAGGAUUGGGAAAAGACAUUGCGAUACCGGAUAAGGGUCUGCAAAAAAAAGUGAAACCAACGCCACCGACAGAUAUAGACAAUCUUCUUGGGGCUGUUGGAGGAGAAGGAGAGUAACUACAAAAUGACACUACAAAUUUUAAGCUGGAAUAUUAACGGUCUAAAUUCAUCGGCAAAAAGGGGGAGAGUAUUUCAUACAUUGAAAAAAGAACAUUUGGACUUGAUUUGCCUACAAGAGACUCAUGUGACAAGGCUACAUCGG